rnacentral:piRNA from 1 species
UCCAAGUCCAACAGAUAACCACCAGCAGUUC